rnacentral:lncRNA from 1 species
AUUUGAUUUCAUUGAAGAGGAUCUGCAUGAAGAAGAUUCAAGAGGCUUGAAUUGUAAACUAAACAUUUAGUUUGAUUAUAAAAUUAAAAUUUAAGAUAAAUUGUGCAAAAUAACUUGAGGUACAUUGGUCAGAAUGCACGUAGUGAGCAUUGAAAUACAAUUUUUAUAGUCUCAGUCGCACGCCUUUUGCUCUCUUUUGUUCACGCGUGAGUACGCGAGCUCGGGAUAAGCGACAAGGAUGACAGGUUCAAUUAUAAUAUUGAACGAGGAGCUAAUAAAUUUAAGUUUGGUGUUGACAAUUCAACAGUUCAAGAUCUCUAUAUUAUACUGUAAUAAAAAUAAAUAUGAUAUUAACUAUUUUUUUAAUAAUUAAAUUAGUAUAAGAUAUCAUUUGAAUAAUUUGGGUUUUUCAGUAAAGCAAGUUUUGUUUUUAUACGAGACUUGAUUGUCUCUUCUUGGUCAACGUAUGAGGAAUUCGUUGGCAGCUUUCAGAUCUGCCGUGGCCAUAGGAGCACGUUGACGACGACGGAGCAAGGUAUGUUGCAGGAGCGGAGUAUUGCUUUGUUCCUUUUGGUUUCGAGGUUUGUGUCUCUUGGGCUUAUGCUUUCAAGUAUAUUCAGUAUCUUCCUGCAUAAUUGGGUUCGAGCAAGUGAAACUAAGAAUAAUUACCAGAGGGAACCAAAAUUUUUCUCUAGUAAAUGUCUCUCUUUCACUAUGAAAUUAGUGAAAUAAGAUAUUCUCUGGACAACAUUAAUUAGGUUUUCCAAUAGGGUUUAAUUUAAAGGACUUGGGCGUUUUAACUAUAUAGCUAAUGAUUUAAGGUAUUUACAUCAGAUUAGAUUACUUUCUUCUUUGUUGGAAAGUUGAUGACUAUGUUACGCUAGAAGGUUUAACAGAGAGAUAUAUACAGAACACAGAGAAAGAAACGCACAGAUAGGGACUGUCGAAAACAUGGUUUUGUUCAUGCUUGAUUUCUCUUCAAUACAUUCAAGGUAUUUAUACUUGUUAUUCUAACUGAAUUGGUUCUAAAUCAACAACUUUGGGUUUAUUUCUUUGGAUUACAGCUUUUUAAUGGUAAUAUUACCCUUUUUUUGAUAAAGUAAUAUUACCGUUUUACACAUAUCAAACUUCCUUCACCCGGGUUCUCUUGUCCUCAAGGUAAAAUUGAGUAAAUUUCUGGUGCAUUCAGAGAGCAUUUUACUGAUGUUGCCUGAGUUCCAUCCGACCACUUAUUGAGGACCUGAAGAAGUGGUUCAUUGUAUCUUUUGAUAAGUACUCUGGCCAAAGUAUCUAAAGGUUGUCUACCUUCAUUGUCGGGUACAAUUGGAGUUUCUUGGAUAAGUGACUUUUGAUGAGUACUCAGUCCAGAGUAUCUAAAGGUUGUCUGUGUUCAUUGUUGGAUACACACAAUUGGAUUUUCUUGGAGCUGAACAUCUACUGGUGCUUUUUUCAUUUUGAGAUACAUGAAAAUUGGGAUGAAUUUGACUUCCUCAAGGAAGUUUUGACUUGACACCCACUUUUCCAACUUUAUGUAAGACAAUGAAAGGACUCGUGUACAAAAUAUUCAGCUUUUAAUUAGUUAUUUGGCGAUGGAUAAUUAUCUGUAAGGUUGAAGUUUGGUCCCCAUUUUGGAAUUCCCUUUCAACUGAUGUUGCUCUACAAGCUGCUUCAUGCAAUGUUGAGCCCUGAAAGGUGAAACUUAAGCAUUAUAAGGACAGCCUCUAGGUCAUGUGGAAAAAUGUCAAUACUGUGAAAUUGAAUCUCUUAGGACAUAGAGGAUAUGAUUGGAAGAGUGUAUCCAUAGAGAGCCUCAAAGGGAGUGGUUUAAUGACUGUUUGAAAAUUGGUAUUAUGGAAAAAAUAAGCCAACUGCAACCAGUUUGUCCAAGUAGCGAGAUGAAUGACACAUUCAUAGUAGGUACGUUCCCAAGUAGGGAUGGGCACGGG